rnacentral:lncRNA from 1 species
UUAAUUUUACUUAUUUCUUUCUGCUUUUUAAAUGUAACUCAGAGAAAAUUUACAAUCACUUAUGUGGCUUGCAUAUAUUUCUGGUGGACAAAGUGUCCAUCUGUCCUGUGUUAGAACCUCACUACUCUCUGAGAAAGUUGUGCUGUCGCUGUUACAUAGCUGAAUGCUGGUAUUCAGAGGUGCUCAUUUAUUCUUCUUCAGUAUUACACAACCCUCUGGAGGCAGUCCUGCGGCUUUCCUGAAGUUUCGGAGUUUGUUUUCCAUUUCUUUUAAUAGUGUUUAUGAGGCAGAGAACCAGAAUUUUUGUAUCAUUGUUGCUACUUUCCUCUGAACUUAAUUUUGUACAUAGCCUUUUCUGGGGCUACAUUCUAGAGAAAUAAGCUAAUGAAUCUUAAAUAACCUUUUAGGAGAAUCUUAUUUUCUUACUGAUUAUGUUGUCAACUAAGGUAUUGUUAUCUUUUCUUCUUGGGCUGCUAUAGUUUUGCUUAUUCAUUUUUUUUUCUUAGAUUCGGAGAACUUACUGAAUACAUCAAAUAUGCCCCCAUCUCCUAUUUCUGAAGUUCUGUUCUAGUUCUGGCCUUCAUUAAAACUUUGUCUUUCAGAUUACAGUUUGGGAUGAGGGAAAAGGCACAUGGUUUGGCUCCACAUAUUUCCAUAUUAUAUUUUACUUUGGAGUCUUUAAGAGUCCUAGAAAGUAACUUUUAGCUUUAGUCACUUGCAGAUUUCACAUGUAUAUCUUCUGUUUUUUCACCAAAUUAUGAAAUAAUAUGACUUAAUUGGGGUCAUAAGACUACCAGACUCUUGAAAUGCAUAAUUCUGCUGAGUUGAUAUACAACUAAGUAGCUCUCUCUACUUUCCUUGUAUUCUCCUCAUGGUUAAUCUUAAGAUUUCUUCCUUUGUACUCAUGAAUUUGUCAAAAUAAAUAAAAAAAUGCCUGAUUUACCUGUUAAAAAGGAAGAGCUAGGGGUAGGACUGAAGGAGCUGAAGGAGAUUGCAACCCCGUAAGAUGAACAAUAUCAACUAAAUGGACCACCCAGAGAACCCAGGGACUAAACCACCAACCAAAGAUGGAGGGAGCCAGGACUCCAGAUACUAUGUAGAAGAGUAUGGCCUUAUCUGACAUCAGUGGGAGGGAGGAGGGAGGCUUGAUGCCCCAGCGUAGGGGGAUGCUGGAGGGGUGAGGUGGGAGUGGGUAAAUGGGUAGAGGCAUUCAUAGCGGCAAAGGGAAAGGGUGAGGAGGGAGGAUGGGAUGGGAGGCUGGUAGAGGGGUAAGUGGGAAGGGGGAUAGCAUUUGAAAUGUAAAUGAAUAAAAUGAUUUUUAAAAGUAAACACAUGGUGGUUUAUGAUGUACAUGGCUUCAUUUUCUUUCAUUGUGAAUUUUUAAAAAUGGAAUUGAUUCUUGAUUCCUUGGCAAUAACUUGGGGGAUAAUAGAGUUGUCAUCAAGCCCAGCUAGCCAAAACAGCACUGGUAUUAAAAGACUGGGGUACUGUCUUCUUUUAGAUUGUUUUUAUUAUUUUUAUUUGAUUUUUUUACAUUUGUUUAUUUAUCCUGGGGGUGGGCAUACUUGGGGAGGUCAACUUGCAGGAGUGAGUUUGGGGGAUCUGAGCUAAAGUCUUCAUGUUUGCCAGCAAGCACCUUUACCCACAGAGCUAUCCAGCUGGUUGGCUGUUAAUUGACUUUAAAAAAAAAUGCUGUAAUGAUGAAUGAUGAUGACUUAUGGUUUCAGUUCUCUAGUCUGACUCAAAUACAUAGAUGUACACACUUAAUUUUUUCAAGCUAUUGCAAAAGUCUUUUAGCUUUAGCAGCUCUCCAACACCAAAUAUUCAUACCAUUUUAAUGGUGAAUGAAGUUCUUCAACAUUUUUUUCUUUGGCUGUAUAACUUAGAAAUUUGACUAAGCAAAUGCCUGAGAGUUGUAGUUAUACUUAUUAUGUAAUACAUUAAGUAGUAGACAUGCAAAUUUUUGUGGUAAUCUUUUUUUUUAAUCUGUGAUUGGCUUUCAUAAUUAUAAUGAGUUAGUUUUGCAAUGGAGGUUUUACUAUGUUACCUGGGCUGGCCUUGAGCCCAAGUGCUCAACUGACUCUGCUGCUCUACUUCUCCAUUGGGGCUGGAACUGCAGCUGUGCAUCAUUACUGCCCCUCCCCCAACCCAUAUUAGAAUUAAUUGAAAAAUUUGUAGGCAAAUUCAAUUGUCAUUAAGUAAAAUACCUAAUGAACAUACACACUAAAAUCCAAAGAUUGAAUUUAAAACCAUAUAGGAAAGACCAAAUGUUUAUCCAUGAUAUUUAAAGUUAUUGAUGCCACCCUUUGUAUCUUUAUAACCUGGUAUUUAUUUUCUUAAAUUGCAAUGACAGUGGGAGAAAUAGAAUCUAUAUGAAUG